GUUUACGCACUAGUCCAAGUUGAUGGCCGUUAGCUAAAAUCAAGGGAGUAGUUGCCAGUCUAAAUUAGCUAGUAGGUACAAAUUAUAUAUGUACUAGAAGUUUUACGUGUAAAGAUUUUCCGUAUAAAGUUUCUUCAGCGAAUAUUUUGGUAGAAAAAGAUUGAUACUCCAAUUUGUAGCAACAAAACUAAUUUUCAUAGAGAGGACAGAACUUACGUGCAGUGUUGUUACGUACUAGUGAUUGGGGCGCCACCUGGUGGCGCCGCUUGAGAGAAAGUUGUACGCAUAUUUUUAAAAAAAAAAAAUACAUAGAGUCCUCGGGUCUUCGCCUCUGUUUGAAGAACAUUUAAAAAAGUCCUCACCUUCAUCUAAAAAAUAGUAAAAAAGAAAAAAAUCCACAACAGCCUAUCAGCGAGUGCCACUUUGCAUAACCCUUCAUUUAAAAAAUACCAGAGGUCCUCAUCUCCAUAUAAAAAAAUACAUUUAAAAAAUAAUCCACACCUUCAUCUAAAAAAAUAACAAAAGAUUUCUCACUGCGGCCAACCAGCUUGCGCCACGUGGCAUAGCUGGUUGGCCGUCAUGCGUAGCUUAAUGGUUUUAAUUUCACGACUCCAUUAGGACGUGGCCGGCCAAUCGUGUUCCUGUCUAGAUAAAAUUUGUACGCCUGGUCUGGUGUCAAAUGUAGAAUAUGAUAGUAUUGAUCAACAAACACGGCACAAAUCUAUACAAGAAAAAAAGAAGUCAAUCGAAGCGAUCGUGGUGCAUGUAAAUAGCUUUGUUAAUGGAGAUGGAGCGAAGGCUGCCACUUGAGGAGAAAGACGAGGACCUGCUUGCGUUGCCAUUGCUGAAAGGAAAUAGUUAUGGAUUAAUGGUGUAAACUGAAAUAAUAUUACUGCUCCCUCCGAUACAUAUUACACAGUAGGCAGGCAUGAAAGGGGCGAGCACGGGUGGAGCAGCCGGCGGCCGGCGCAGGCUAAAACCCUAGACCGAACGGGGAAUUGUUUGCGAGCAACACGGGAGAGGGCGAUGGGUCGGUGGGUCCCGCAGGCUCGCAACUCGAUUUGACCUUUCGGCCCGGUCCACGUUCGCCGGAGGAGCGGAAAAGUUCCCGGCCCAAUUAUCGUUGAAUCCACAGGGCCCAGCGAGGCGCACGGUCUGCCUCGUCUCCUCCGGCGAAUCGCGGCCGCGUCUCUUCCCACGACCAAUCGAGCCGCCAACGGAAGUCUCCACCCUGUUGCUCUGCUGCGAUUUCUAGGGUUUGACUUAGCGCUGCAUUUUUAAUACGUUUAUGAAAACAUGGAAUAUGCAUUAUGCAAGAUGGAUCAUGUCCAUAUUAAGUUUUGGUUGAGUGGAGGUGGUGUUAUUGCUUAUGUUUCUGUCACUUGUCUUAUCCCAACCAAACUGAUGCAUUUUUUCUGUGUUGCUCACUAUCUAAACUCAUGGUCACCAUCCACCUAUUUUUUCCUCAAAUAUCACCUUUUUCAGUCAGCGUUAGAAUGGGUAAUCAUCGAACGAGUGCAACAAUUGCAGAGAAGCAUGUCCAUAUUAAACCAACAACAAGAUCAAUAAAUGACAAUGGGAGGCCCAAUGUUCAACUUAAAGAUCUUCCAGAGGAUGUGAUGUGCAUAAUUUUAUCAAACUUACCUGCAAAAGAGGCUGUGCGGUCUAGUGUUUUGUCCAGCGAGUGGAGAUCUAUAUGGACAACUUGCCCCAAACUGAGUUUCAACGGCAAGGAUCAUGUGCCUAGGCAUGGAGGGAAACAACAUGCCCAGAUGUUCAUAGACCAUAUUAAUGCAGUCUUGAAAAGGCACCACAGCAAGGUUGUCGACAAUCUUGAGAUCAAAUUUGUAUUUGAGAGCAAGCUAGUUUAUCAUCUCAACAGUUGGAUAAGGUUUGCUAUGUCCUCCCGGACUAAGAAUCUAUCUUUUGAUUUGGCACCACUACCUGAAUUUUGGAAACAUAGGAAUCAUUACAGGUUCCCAUUUGAACUUUUAGACAAGGAAAGUGUAUCCUGUCUACGAUGUCUUCAUCUUAGAUUUGUAUGUUUGAAACCACCCCCUUCCCGGUUCACAGGUUUCCCAUUAUAGGCUGAGCAUAGUCAGGUGUGAUCUAGACGAUGAACUAAAGGUGGUCCUGCGACCAUUGUCCAACCUGAAGUACCUGAGAGUCAAAUACUGCGGGUUCACCAAGAUAGAGUUCCAUGCUGCCAAGCUCUCCACCUUUGUGUAUAAAGGGGACUGCAUACCUAUUGCCCUCCAUCAAGCUCCCGAGAUGGAAAAUGCAGAAAUUUGUUUCUGUGCUUCUACCUUUCGGUGUGGUUCAGCUGUGGUUCUCAAUGGGCUUCCACAUGUUCAGAACCUCACUUUGAAAAUUUCAGUUGAAGUGCUAGAGACUUCAUUGGACAUCAGAUAGCCGUUACAUGUUCCCGCAGCUCAAGCAUAAUAUUGGCUGUAUAUCAUAAACACGACGACAAGAUUCUCUACUUGGUUUCCCUUUUGAGGGCUGCUCCAUUUAUUGAACACUUGCAAGUACAUGUGAGUAUUUUCUUGUCGGAUCACCUUUGUAGUUUGAUGGCACUUGCACGAUGUGGUUUGCAUACAAGGGGUCUUCGAGACAAGACAUUCCACGAUCCGAACACAAAUACCUACACCUGAAGAAUGUGCAUGUCACAGGAUUCAAAGCCACGAAAGGCCAGCUUCAACUCCUGUUGCAUGUCGUGGAAAACGCCCCUGCGAUAGAAACUGUGACCGUAGAUACAGUUCAAAGACGGUAUGAUCUGUUGGAUCCAGACGAGAUUCUCCCGACGCUCCGCAGCUCUGCCCUUGAUAUUGUCAGGGAUCCUCUCUCUAAGAGACUUCCACCAGAUGCCAAGCUUUACCUUCUGUAAGACGGACAGAGGGCAUAACAUUAACAUGCUAGCUGUGUAUAAGCAAUA